UCAUGCCUACAACAUAGCGUUAGCACACCGGAUCCUAUUAGAACUCUGUAGUUAAGUGCACUUAGGCUAGAGUAGUACUGGGAUGGGUGACCUCUUGGUAAGUCCUUUUGUCUUACAUGCC
rnacentral:rRNA from 1 species